rnacentral:rRNA from 1 species
GAUGAACGCUGGCGGCGUGCUUAACACAUGCAAGUCGAACGGAAAGGCCCUGCUUUUGUGGGGUGCUCGUGUGGCGAACGGGUGAGUAACACGUGAGUAACCUGCCCUUGACUUUGGGAUAACUUCAGGAAACUGGGGCUAAUACCGGAUAGGAGCUCCUGCUGCAUGGUGGGGGUUGGAAAGUUUCGGCGGUUGGGGAUGGACUCGCGGCUUAUCAGCUUGUUGGUGGGGUAGUGGCUUACCAAGGCUUUGACGGGUAGCCGGCCUGAGAGGGUGACCGGCCACAAGGGUACUGAGAUACGGCCCAGACUCCUACGGGAGGCAGCAGUCGGGAAUAUUGCACAAUGGGCGGAAGCCUGAUGCAGCAACGCCGCGUGCGGGAUGACGGCCUUCGGGGUGUAAACCGCUUUCUCCUGUGACGAAGCGGUAUUGACGGUAAUGGGUAAAGAAGCACCGGCUAACUACGUG